CAUGAAGCCGGAAUUGCUAGUAAUGGCAGGUCAGCAUACUGCCGUGAAUACGUUCCCGGGCCUUGUACACACCGCCCGUCACACCAUGAGAGUUGGGAAUACCCGAAGCCUGUGAGCUAACGUAAGAGGCAGCAGUCGAAGGUAGAAUCAAUGAUUGGGGUGAAGUCGUAACAAGGUAGC
rnacentral:rRNA from 1 species